AGUGAACGCUGGCGGUAGGCCUAACACAUGCAAGUCGAACGGCAGCACAGUAAGAGCUUGCUCUUACGGGUGGCGAGUGGCGGACGGGUGAGGAAUACAUCGGAAUCUACUUUUUCGUGGGGGAUAACGUAGGGAAACUUACGCUAAUACCGCAUACGACCUACGGGUGAAAGCAGGGGAUCUUCGGACUUUGCGCGAUUGAAUGAGCCGAUGCCGGAUUAGCUAGUUGGCGGGGUAAAGGCCCACCAAGGCGACGAUCCGUAGCUGGUCUGAGAGGAUGAUCAGCCACACUGGAACUGAGACACGGUCCAGACUCCUACGGGAGGCAGCAGUGGGGAAUAUUGGACAAUGGGCGAAAGCCUGAUCCAGCCAUACCGCGUGGGUGAAGAAGGCCUUCGGGUUGUAAAGCCCUUUUGUUAGGAAAGAAAAGCAGCAGAUUAAUACCCCGCUGUUCUGACGGUACCCAAAGAGUAAGCACCGGCUAACUUCGUG
rnacentral:rRNA from 1 species